rnacentral:rRNA from 1 species
CUACGGUGAAUACGUUCCCGGACCUUGUACACACCGCCCGUCAAGCCAUGGAAGCUGGGUGUACCUAAAGUCGAUAACCGAAAGGAGUCGCCUAGGGUAAAACUAGUAACUGGGGCU